GACGAACGCUGGCGGCGUGCUUAACACAUGCAAGUCGAACGGAAAGGCCCUGCUCUUGUGGCGUGCUCGAGUGGCGAACGGGUGAGUAACACGCGAGUAACCCGUCCUUGACUUUGGGAUAACUUUAGGAGACUGGGGCUAAUACCGGAUAGGAGCUCCUGCUGCACGGGGGGGGUUGGAAAGUUUCGGCGGUUCGGGCUGGACUCGCGGCUUAUCAGCUUGUUGGUGGGGUAGUGGCUUACCAAGGCUUUGACGGCUAGCCGGCCUGAGAGCGUGACCGGCCACAUUGGGACUGAGAGACGGACCAGACUGCUACGGGAGGCAGCAGUGGGGAAUAUUGCACAAUGGGCGGAAGCCUGAUGCAGCGGCGCCGCGUGCGGGAUGCCGGCCUACGAGUUGUAAACCGCUUUCGCCUGUGACGAAGCGUGAGUGACGGUAAUGGGUAAAGAAGCACCGGCUAACUACGUG
rnacentral:rRNA from 1 species